UACGUAGGGUCCGAGCGUUGUCCGGAAUUAUUGGGCGUAAAGCGCACGUAGGCGGCAUCGCAAGUCCCAUGUGAAAGCCCACGGCUUAACCGUGGAAGUGCAUGGGAAACUGCAGUGCUUGAGUACUUAAGAGGAUCGCGGAAUUCCCGGUGUAGAGGUGAAAUUCGUAGAUAUCGGGAGGAACACCAGUGGCGAAGGCGGCGAUCUGGGAAGAUACUGACGCUGAGGUGCGAAAGCGUGGGGAGCAAACAGG
rnacentral:rRNA from 1 species